rnacentral:tRNA from 1 species
CGGGGCGUGGCGCAGCCCGGUAGCGCACCUGCUUUGGGAGCAGGGGGUCGCUGGUUCGAAUCCAGUCGCCCCGA